AGCGAACGCUGGCGGCAGGCCUAACACAUGCAAGUCGAACGCCCCUUCGGGGGAGUGGCGGACGGGUGAGUAACACGUGGGAACGUACCUUUUGGUUCGGAACAACUGAGGGAAACUUCAGCUAAUACCGGAUAAGCCCUUUUGGGGAAAGAUUUAUCUCCGAAAGAUCGGCCCGCGGUGGAUUAGGUAGUUGGUGGGGUAAAGGCUUACCAAGCCUAAGAUCCAUAGCUGGUCUGAGAGGAUGAUCAGCCACACUGGGACUGAGACACGGACCAGACUCGUACGGGAGGCAGCAGUGGGGAAUCUUGCGCAAUGGUCGAAAGACUGACGCAGCCAUGCCGCGUGAAUGAUGAAGGUCUUAGGAGUGUAAAAUUCUUUUACCGGUUACGAUAAUGACGGUAACCGGAGAAAAAGCCCCGGCUAACUUCGUGCCAGCCGCCGCAGUAA
rnacentral:rRNA from 1 species